CUGUUGUUGGCAACCAACAGAGUUGUUGUCUUUUCUCGCAUUCAUUAAAAUGCACAAGAAGAAAUUUCUAAUGGUGAGGGAGUACUUGCUUCAAAUUCAUACUUCAGUGAAAUAAACAACACCAUACAUAGGAAUGUGAAAGCAAAGUCAUCAUACACUGUUUGCUUCAUUGUAUGAGAAUCAAUGUUUGCAUGAUAAACUGCCCUAAUGGAAGAGGACUCUGAGUUACCUUUUUCGAGCAAAGCCACCUAGGUUACUCUGUUUUCCCCAGAGUGACCCUUCUGUUCUGCAAAUUUUCAGAUUGAAGGGAGUAGCAGUAGAGUAUCAGAAGUAUCAGAAGCAAAAAAGUAAAUGUAUGAUUUGCAAAGCAUAACAAAAUGAAAAAUAAGCUUCUGCAGUCAUGGAAGUUCAGAAUUGGAUAACAACUUAGAUUAUUUAUUCCAACCUCAUCGAAAAAGAGAUAAAGACAUGGAAUUCAGGAAAAGUGUUUCUUCCUGUUUGA
rnacentral:lncRNA from 1 species